rnacentral:rRNA from 1 species
UACGUAGGGCGCGAGCGUUGUCCGGAAUUAUUGGGCGUAAAGAGCUCGUAGGCGGCUUGUCGCGUCGAAUGUGAAAACUCGGGGCUCAACUCCGAGCUUGCAUUCGAUACGGGCAGGCUAGAGUUCGGUAGGGGGAGACUGGAAUUCCUGGUGUAGCGGUGAAAUGCGCAGAUAUCAGGAGGAACACCGGUGGCGAAGGCGGGUCUCUGGGCCGAUACUGACGCUGAGGAGCGAAAGCGUGGGGAGCGAACAGG